AAAAGCAUACUUCAAA
rnacentral:sRNA from 1 species